rnacentral:rRNA from 1 species
UACGUAGGUGGCAAGCGUUGUCCGGAAUUAUUGGGCGUAAAGCGCGCGCAGGCGGUCCUUUAAGUCUGAUGCGAAAGCCCACGGCUCAACCGUGGAGGGUCAUUGGAAACUGGGGGACUUGAGUACAGAAGAGAAGAGUGGAAUUCCACGUGUAGCGGUGAAAUGCGUAGAGAUGUGGAGGAACACCAGUGGCGAAGGCGACUCUUUGGUCUGUAACUGACGCUGAGGCGCGAAAGCGUGGGGAGCAAACAGG